CCCUGUGGUGCUUUGUAAAUGAGGAGUCUAAAUGGCAGCCCUAACCUUGGACUCAUCUCAACCAGCACGGGAGAACGGGAGAACGAACUCAACUAGGAGACCACAGAGAACCAAGUUUCCACAUCUAAGAGCAUGGAAUACCUGCAUGGCAGGAAACCAGUCAUCUGAGGCACAGCGGACACCCACACAAUCCAAGCCUUUAUGAAGUCACAGCAGGGACGGAAAUCGACUUCAUUCUGAGCAGCUGCUGGUACAGGGCACUGUGUAGGUGGCUCUUACAGGCAUUCUAUUACUCAGUCUUGGUAAAGUUCCAUCACUGCAGGACCAGAGCCUCUAUGCUGGGUAGGAGAAAUGUAUCUUGCUGUUUUGCUGAGAGCUCUGGACUCUCCAGUGUAAAGUUCAGGCAAACCAGACCUAUCUAGCCCAUGACGAGUGUUGGGACGUACAGCAGAGCCUGUCUCUGACCACCUCCUCACAUCUGCACCAACCCACAAACAGAUGGUUAAUCUAGGAAUCAAAUGAAGAAAUGGUCAACUCAUUAUGAAGAAAAUUCUACUGGAGUCUGGAGUCUACUAAUUUUGUACAUCUUGAGCAAUUGCUUCUCCUUGUAAAUAUCAUGUGGUGGGAUUUGGAUGCAGAAGAUCUUCGAGAACAGACUCCGUGUGCUGGCGUUCUAGGCUGGAGUCCAGCAACAGUUCGACCGCAGAUGAAGUGCUUCAGAUGGUUGGCGUUGUCAGCCAGAGCCUCGAGGACUUUCCUGGGGCUACACCUCUCCAGAAGUUUGAAGAUGUGGGGACAGGUUUGCCUUUCAGAAACGUGCGAAUGUCACCAGCUGGGAGUGGCAGAUGCCAAGAGCCGGUCUGAAAACAGAUCUCCAUCUGGCAAUGGGCUAGGCUUCCUGGGACACAGAUUAGAAUGCUUUGUAACCAAAGGGCGG
rnacentral:lncRNA from 1 species